AAGACAACCAUAAUAAGAGAAAAGUAUUAAUUUGUAAUCAUAGAGUCGUAUGCUUAAAGAAUUCAGAAGUUUUGGUUUGAAAAAGCUAUCACUGCGUGUACGAUCCGCACGUGCGAACGAGACCAUCAAUUCCCUCUUUGACAACUGAUCCAUGGUGAUUGCAAUCUAACGAGGCGUCGAAACCACAAGCCGUUUACAUCAAACCACCCCAAGCUAAACCUCUGAACUCCGCGAAAUGAUUGUGUCACUACGUAUUCCAUCGAAUUGGCCAAUGUACCAAAUUAAUGUGCAAUCUUUCUGGAGCUGGCGACGUGGCGUGGCUCCAGCCUCCUUUGUACGAGCUGCUGGCAUCUGUAACGUGAAAGAGAAAAGAAGCUCGCAUAAAUACGAAUCACAGAAUCCUCAAAAUAAAUCUUUCAACACGCAAACAUCAC
rnacentral:misc_RNA from 1 species